rnacentral:rRNA from 1 species
CCUACGGGAGGCAGCAGUGGGGAAUAUUGCACAAUGGGGGAAACCCUGAUGCAGCGACGCCGCGUGAGUGAAGAAGUAUUUCGGUAUGUAAAGCUCUAUCAGCAGGGAAGAAAAUGACGGUACCUGAUUAAGAAGCCCCGGCUAACUACGUGCCAGCAGCCGCGGUAAUACGUAGGGGGCAAGCGUUAUCCGGAUUUAUUGGGUUUAAAGGGUGCGUAGGCGGGCUGUUAAGUCAGCGGUAAAAGCCCGGGGCUAAACCCCGGCGAGCCGUUGAAACUGGUUGUCUUGAGAGGUCGAGAGGUAUGCGGAAUGCGCAGUGUAGCGGUGAAAUGCGUAGAUAUUGCGCGGAACACCGAUUGCGAAGGCAGCAUACCGGCGGCGAUCUGACGCUGAGGCACGAAAGCGUGGGUAUCGAACAGGAUUAGAUACCCCUGUAGUC